AGAGUUUGAUCCUGGCUCAGAAUCAACGCUGGCGGCGUGCCUAACACAUGCAAGUCGAACGAGAAAGUGGAGCAAUCCAUGAGUAAAGUGGCGCACGGGUGAGUAACACGUGACUAACCUACCCUUGAGUGGGGAAUAACCUGGAGAAAUCUAGGCUAAUACCGCAUAACACCUACGGGUCAAAGGAGCAAUUCGCUUAAGGAGGGGGUCGCGGCAGAUUAGCUAGUUGGCGGGGUAAUGGCCCACCAAGGCGGUGAUCUGUAUCCGGCCUGAGAGGGCGCACGGACACACUGGAACUGAAACACGGUCCAGACUCCUACGGGAGGCAGCAGUGGGGAAUUUUGCGCAAUGGGGGAAACCCUGACGCAGCAACGCCGCGUGGAGGAUGAAGUCCCUUGGGACGUAAACUCCUUUCGAUCGGGACGAUUAUGACGGUACCGAGAGAAGAAGCCCCGGCUAACUUCGUGCCAGCAGCCGCGGUAAUACGAGGGGGGCGAGCGUUGUUCGGAAUUAUUGGGCGUAAAGGGUGCGUAGGCGGUUCGGUAAGUCUUAUGUGAAAUCUUCGGGCUCAACUCGAAGUCUGCAUGAGAAACUGCCGGGCUUGAGUGUGGGAGAGGUGAGUGGAAUUUCCGGUGUAGCGGUGAAAUGCGUAGAUAUCGGAAGGAACACCUGUGGCGAAAGCGGCUCACUGGACCACAACUGACGCUGAUGCACGAAAGCUAGGGGAGCAAACAGGAUUAGAUACCCUAGUAGUCC
rnacentral:rRNA from 1 species